rnacentral:rRNA from 1 species
CUCUUACCCAUGUCUUUUGAGUACUUACGUUUCCUCGGCGGGUCCGCCCGCCGACUGGACAAAAUUAAACCCUUUGCAGUUGCAAUCAGCGUCUGAAAAACAUAAUAGUUACAACUUUCAACAACGGAUCUCUUGGUUCUGGCAUCGAUGAAGAACGCAGCGAAAUGCGAUAAGUAGUGUGAAUUGCAGAAUUCAGUGAAUCAUCGAAUCUUUGAACGCACAUUGCGCCCCUUGGUAUUCCAUGGGGCAUGCCUGUUCGAGCGUCAUUUGUACCUUCAAGCUCUGCUUGGUGUUGGGUGUUUGUCUCGCCUUUGCGCGCAGACUCGCCUCAAAGCAAUUGGCAGCCGGCGUAUUGAUUUCGGAGCGCAGUACAUCUCGCGCUUUGCACUCAUAACAGCGGCGUCCAAA